rnacentral:miRNA from 1 species
AGCUAUUCAACUUCUUGUCUAU